AUGAGUAUUCUCAGUUGGAACUACCGGGGCCUGGGGCAGUCCCAGACAGUUCAAGAGUUGGUGUGCCUCAUGCAGACCUACCGCCUCCGUAUCGUCUUCUUAUCUGAAACAAGGCAAUGUGAGGACAAGGUAAAGGCAAUAAAAUGGAGACUAGGGCUGAAGCAUUGUCUUACCCAUGAUGGUAAAGGCAAAGGAGCCGGCAUUGCUUUGUACUGGGACGAUUCAAUA
rnacentral:rRNA from 1 species